GUAACGGGCUGUCCCCCUUACACUAUCCACCCACCUACUCGUCUUCUAAAACUUUUUCUCAACUAAGAUAGGUAGCGAGUACCAUUUUGGUUUAAUUAUUUUUAAAACAAUAAAAUAAUUCUAAUUAAUGAUUACACAAUUUGCUAUUAGUCAUAAAUGCAGAAGACCAAUUGAACAUAAAAGGCCAAAAGUUUACGCUUAU
rnacentral:misc_RNA from 1 species